rnacentral:rRNA from 1 species
UACGGAGGGGACUAGCGUUGUUCGGAAUUACUGGGCGUUAAGCGCGCGUAGGCGGAUUUGCAAGUCGGGGGUGAAAACCCGAGGCUCAACCUCGGAACUGCCUUCGAUACUGCAAAUCUCGAGUCCGGAAGAGGUGAGUGGAAUUCCUAGUGUAGAGGUGAAAUUCGUAGAUAUUAGGAAGAACACCAGGGGCGAAGGCGGCUCACUGGUCCGGUACUGACGCUGAGGCGCGAAAUCGUGGGGAGCAAACAGG